rnacentral:rRNA from 1 species
AGUGUAGGCGGGAUCGUAAGUUAGGAGUUUAAUGCAUGGGCUUAACCCAUGACCUGCUUUUAAUACUGCGGUUCUUGAGUAUGGGAGAGGGCGAUGGAAUUCCAGGUGUAGCGGUGGAAUGCGUAGAUAUCUGGAGGAACACCAGUAGCGAAGGCGGUCGCCUGGCCCAAUACUGACGCUGAUGCUCGAAAGCUAGGGGAGCAAACAGGAUUAGAUACCCUGGUAGUCCUAGCCGUAAACGAUGGACACUAGUUGCUGGAGGAGUCAAUCCUUUCAGUGACGAAGCUAACGCAUUAAAGUGUCCCGCCUGGGGAGUACGCUCGCAAGGGUGAA